ACCAAGUUGUGAGUUUGGGGGUUCAGAGACAAGAGGAUGGAAACGUUUUGAAGUUGGAUGGCUCCAUUACUCAAUUGGCUCUCAAAUGUAACCAAAUGAGCGAUACUUUACCCAAUCUGAAAUGUUGGUCAAUAACUUGAAGUGGGGGGAAAAAAAAUAAGUUCAGGAAAAUGGCAGAAGAAAAUAAUUAAGUUACUUUUUGCUUUUGUUGUUGAUUGGUUUCUUGUUGAUUUUGGUUUUUGGUUUUAGUGCAGGUGGGUGGGUGGUGUGUGUGUGUGUGUGUGUGUGUGUGUGUGUGUGUGUGUGUGUGUGUUCCACUCAAAAAACAAACACUCAAAAAGUGAAGAAAAUACAAAGAUUUUAAGAACAUAGAUUUACCUACUACUGGAUACAGCUUCUGCUACAUCCUCUGGGGAAGGCACUGAUUUCUGGUUUGGAGAGCGUUUGCUCACUGGUUUGCUCUCCCAUCAAAGAGGCCUCAAAGAGUGGUUGGUCUCUUAGAGCAAUCAUGGAUCUUAUUGGGAGAGGUUGGAAAGUAUUUCCUAAUGAAUUGGGCUUAUCUCCUCACAAAGGAAGGGAAGAGUUUAUGAGAAAUUGUUGAAGACGAUGGCUAACAAUCUGUGAAGAUUUUGUUCUGUAUUUUCUUGGUUUGGGGUUUUGAUUUCUUACUUUAUACAAUCUUUACGGAUGGAAAUCUUACUGGCAGAAAAGACUUGGUCUUUUUGCUCUUUCAUCACAGAAUGGAAGAUGGCAAACUCACGUAGACUCUUUGUAGGUUGGCUAUAAAAGGGGUGGUUUGGCUUUUUAAAUAAGACCAUUUUAAAUGUUCCUUUCUAUUUUCAAUCAUAAAAGAUUGUCUUAAUUUAUUAGCGUAGGCCCUGGUUGGCACUUCUCAAGUGGAUGAGCAUUUCCAUUCAAAGCAUGGGUUCACCCAUGUCUUCAAAAGAUGAAUGAUUAAUAUUAAGGAAUUACUUACUUCAAAAUACAGUAGAAGCGUGAGUCUCUGUUCCCACUCCCCACAAAGAUCAUUAAGUCCUAAAUCUGAAAGAGGAAAAAUACUAAGGGAAUUUUUUUCUUGCCUGUUUUUUAUUUCAAUGCUAGUGCUUAAUCCUAUCCUAUACAGAUUUGCUUCUCGCUAUUGUGAUAUUCCGUAAGACUUUCCAGUUAG
rnacentral:lncRNA from 1 species